rnacentral:lncRNA from 1 species
CUCGUCCUCGGGAAAAGGAUGGUUAAGAACAAUAUCUAGGGUAAAACAUUUUAAAACAUUCUUUUCAUAACUGCAGGGUGUUAAAAUCCACUGUGUACCAUAGUCAGGGAAGUAUGUGGUUAAGAGUAAAGAUCCUUUCUUCUCAAUACUGUCACUUGGAGUUUCUGUAUAUUUUUGAAAUAAAGUUAGCAUACCUUUUGUCCUCAUAGGUCUUCUCAGAUCACUCAUUAUCUUUUAUAUCUCACUGAGGCUGUUUUAAUUUGCAAAAAUUCUCAGGCAUACUUACUUUGCAUUUAUUGCCUGAUCAAAACGGGAUCCGAGGAGGGGAAUGUCAUACUCUUAGAUCAAAGACUUUAGAAGUUAAAAUCUUUGUCAACUCUUGCUGGCAUAUUGCUUAUUAGAGGGACCAUGGGCUAUCAUUUUCUUUUUCUUCUCUUUUUUUUAAAUGGAUACCGAGGUAUCCCUAAUUCUACUGCCGGACACUUGUCCAUUUUUUGCGAGGUUAUCGAGCACUUGCUCCUUUUUAUUUCCUCAAAAUAUCUUUAUUUUUGCGUAGCCCAUGCCUCUAAUGCAAUAAUACUUCGGAGGAGUGAAUCUUUCUGAAUAAAUGUCUUAAUCUUAGGAGCAUGAUAAAUCUCUCAACAUGGGUCUAACUCAUUUUGAACAAACUCAAUACAGAGUAGAUAGCCUUUAUAAUCGUAAUUAAUAUUUUCAGUUUUAUUAGGCAUAUAAAACACUGAGGAUGGUAGCUAGAAUUUUUGAAUAAAUUUUGAAAUAAAUUCUCCAAGCAACAAUGAUAUCAAGAAUAAGAAACUCAUACUCUACCAUCUCACAUUCCACAAUGACUUAAGUAACAAGGGGUUUUAAAAUGAUUUUUUAAUAAUUGCAAGUUUAAGGAAAUAUCAGAGAGUGAGAUUAAUCAUGAUUAGAAACAUUUUAAACUUCUUAAUUUAUCAUGUCGGAAAUAGUAUUCUGCAUAAUCCAAGAUAUGUGUAUGUGUAAAGUAAAGUGUGCAGAAUGUGUACCUGAAUCGUGGAGUGGUGUAGUCGAAGUGUGCUUGGCAUGUCGAGGAAUCUCCCCCAUACUUGUUUUAUACUUUCUUGCACAAAAAUAAAGUAGAGACACACAAGACAUAAUAAUAAUAAUAAUAAUAAUAAUAAUAAUAAUAAUAAUAAUAAUAAUAAUAAUAAUAAUAAUAAUACUCUUUAUUAAUCUUGAGGCAUUUAUUACAACUGGCGAUAAUAGU